UAGGGAAUCUUCGGCAAUGGGGGGAACCCUGACCGAGCAACGCCGCGUGAGUGAAGAAGGUUUUCGGAUCGUAAAGCUCUGUUGUUAAGGAAGAACGAGUGUGAGAAUGGAAAGUUCAUACUGUGACGGUACUUAACCAGAAAGGGACGGCUAACUACGUGCCAGCAGCCGCGGUAAUACGUAGGUCCCGAGCGUUGUCCGGAUUUAUUGGGCGUAAAGCGAGCGCAGGCGGUUAGAUAAGUCUGAAGUUAAAGGCAGUGGCUCAACCAUUGUAGGCUUUGGAAGCUGUUUAACUUGAGUGCAGAAGGGGAGAGUGGAAUUCCAUGUGUAGCGGUGAAAUGCGUAGAUAUAUGGAGGAACACCGGUGGCGAAAGCGGCUCUCUGGUCUGUAACUGACGCUGAGGCUCGAAAGCGUGGGGAGCGAACAGGAUUAGAUACCCUGGUAGUCCACGCCGUAAACGAUGAGUGCUAGGUGUUAGGUCCUUUCCGGGACUUAGUGCCGCAGCUAACGCAUUAAGCACUCCGCCUGGGGAGUACGACCGCAAGGUUG
rnacentral:rRNA from 1 species